UAAUCUCACUACGAUCGACUUUUGUCUUUCCGUAUGUGGACUUGGAUGCUGCCGUGGAUGACCCUACGGCUCGUCUGAAAUGCCUCAGUGUACCCCGUCUUGCGGCGUAUUCGGUGUGAUACAUCUUCACCGGAGUUGAUCCUUUCGGGGGUCGCGUCUGCAAUGUUGUGGCUCUAUGCUUCCAAUCGUCUCUCUGAUGGGACAAUCUCUGACAAU
rnacentral:misc_RNA from 1 species